GACGAACGCUGGCGGCGUGCUUAACACAUGCAAGUCGAGCGAUGAACCUUUCAUGAAUUUUUCGGAAUGAUUGGAAGAGGAUUAGCGGCGGACGGGUGAGUAACGCGUGAGCAACCUGCCUUAAACAACGGGAUAGCCUCGGGAAACCGGGAUUAAUACCGUAUGAGACCCCGCCUCCACAUGAAGAAGAGGUUAAAGAUUUAUCGGUUUAAGAUGGGCUCGCGUCUGAUUAGCUAGUUGGUGAGAUAAAAGCCAACCAAGGCAACGAUCAGUAACCGGCUCGAGAGAGUGAACGGUCACAUUGGAACUGAGACACGGUCCAAACUCCUACGGGAGGCAGCAGUGGGGAAUAUUGCACAUGGGGGAAACCCUGAUGCAGCGACGCCGCGUGAGCGAUGAAGGAAUUCGUUUCGUAAAGCUCUGUCCAAGGGGAAGAUAAUGACAGUACCCUUGGAGGAAGCCCCGGCUAAAUACGUGCCAGCCGCCGCCGUAA
rnacentral:rRNA from 1 species